rnacentral:rRNA from 1 species
UACGUAGGCAGCAAGCGUUGUUCGGAGUUACUGGGCGUAAAGGGUGUGUAGGCGGUUCUUUUAAGUUUGGUGUGAAAUCUCCCGGCUCAACCGGGAGGGUGCGCCGAAUACUGAGGGACUAGAGUGCGGGAGAGGAAAGUGGAAUUCCUGGUGUAGCGGUGAAAUGCGUAGAUAUCAGGAGGAACACCGGUGGUGUAGACGGCUUUCUGGGACGGUACUGACGCUGAGACGCGAAAGCGUGGGGAGCGAACAGG